CGUAAUUAAUCCUGCAACAAGAUCGUUGUCAACCAUCUAUUAAAUUGCUUAUUGGUUUAAAGCAAAUUAGUUUGAGGGCGCUUCGUAAAAAUAUAACAUUAUGACAGUGGUGUACAGAAAAGUAAAAAUUUGUUACAUUUUCCAUGAACAUUCGUAGAGAUUAGUGAGGGGGCUAUUAUUGAACCUACGAGAACGCUAUUACACAUUGUAAGGAAGUGUACCGUGUGGAAGCAGUUUGUUGGAUUUUAUUUUUCUGUGUUUUCAAAUAGAAACAAGAAAUAGAGAAACUUUUGAAAGCCAGCUCUCAGAAAAUAAAACACAAAGGACAACAAAAAAAUAUGACUGAACAUUCAUUAUUUUUAGUUUUUUUACUCUCAAAUUAUUAUUGUUUUUAUCUGUAUACUGUAAAGCUGAUUAAGCGACUAAUCAAUUAACAGUUUAAAUACUUAAAAAAUAUUUAUUUUAAUAAUUUGUAAGUUUAAUGCACAAGAGUUUGUUUUAUAUUUUUGUUUUAGCUUUUUCUUAUAAAAUGUUUGUUUUGUUAUUCUCUUUAAUGUAAUAAUUAUUUAAAACCUGUUGAGAAGAAAUAAUAAAACAUGCUAUAAUUGUUA